UCUGUUUCCGAAGCCUGCCUUCGCCCAACAGUUGCCUUUUUGUCUAACUUUUGUGUGAGGGAAGAGGAGGUGGAGGGGCCGGAACAUAAUGACUGUCCAACAGCUGUUUCUUCUCAUUUAAUAAACAGAAAGCCUGAAGUCAAGAAACCGAGUCACGAUCCAGAUGUUGAACUCUCGGCUCCUUCUUCAGCACCAUG